rnacentral:lncRNA from 1 species
GAUGAAUCUCAGAUUCUGAAUUAUUUGUAGAGAAUAAGUUUGUCAUAUUUUUAAUUAUCAAAAAUUAUGACUUGAAUGACUUUUAUGUUUGCCAUGUUUUUGUUUUAUACUUUUAAAUAUUUUUUUUAAUUUUUAUUAUCCAAUAUACAUGGAGUCUAGGUCUGAAGACAUAAGCAAACUUCAAUCCAUUCAAUUGUUUGCAGCAAAUCACUGUAUUGUUUAACAAAAGCUUACAUAAAAGCAGUAUUUGUUUGUGUAUACGAGGCAUUUUCUGUCACAAAUGAAAUUCAUGAUGUCAAAUACUGAGUUUUAAUAAAAUUGUUUGUAGAGCUCGAAAACAGAAAUCUGUGAUAGUAAAACCUAAGCCCCCCCCUUAAAUAGCAGUGUUAAUAAAUACAAUUUCAAAACUUAUUUAUAUAUUUAUUUUUUAUUACCUUGUGUUGUUGUCCAAAGGCAUAAAGUUCCCACUUUUACUGUUUAAUGUUGAAAUUAUUAUAACCAAUCAAUUCAAUGGGCAUUUCUAAGAUUUAUCAGUCUACAUCUUUUAAAGAGCAGCUUAAAAAAUUAUCAAAAAUUAAUGUUGCUCAAAUGUAUAUUUUUUAUAGUAGCAGUUUUUAAAAACUUUUCAUGAAACCUUGCACUGUUUUGGGGAUCUGUAUUAAAAAGCAUGUUUUUUUGUUUUUUUUUAAUUUGUCAUUCCAAAAUAAUGUAGGACUCGAACAACCAGAUUAUAGAUAUUUUUUGUGCCGUGUCAGGGCAAGCUUCAGUUUGUUUCAAUUAAUUUACCUCAAACUUUACACUGGUGUUAGUAUUUAUCAAAGUAAACCUUCAUGUAAUUUGGAAAGUUUUGGACUUGCUUUUCCAGAGUUAUUGGACUUUAACCAUCAAAUUCAAGAGAUAUAACAAAGGUUAUCCUCAGGCAUAUUUUUUGGCAGAACCAGUUAAACUGACUUCUAUUAUUAGUAAUACUUAAAUGUACCAUUUAAUUCAUAUAACAAUUCCAAUAUCCAGGUGUAUCUUUGGAUACUGGUGCAACUUUUUAUUGUUGUUGUUUUGGGGUCAUUAGACUAAUUCAACGUUGUUGCAUUUUAUCAAAUAAUAAAAUGAUAUUUUCAUUUUUUCAAGAAUAAUUAAAUAUGUAUACCAUAAUUAAAAUACAGAAGCAAUCUGGUACUUACAGAUUUAAUCUUAGUAGACAUUUAUCUGUUGGAAAUAGAUUAUUGAAGGAUUAAAUUGGAUCAACUGAUCUUCCAAAAAUGUGAUUUUAAUUAACAAAAAGAGAUUGUUUUUAUUUAUAUUCUUAUUUAAUGUGUAUUUGUUUUUCUUUUAUUUAUUCAUUACUUCCUUUGUUCCAACAUAUGUUCAUUUUUUUAUUCCACAAAAGAUUACAGAUUUGAUCAAACAUGUAUGUUAAGAACUUAAAAUGGAAAUUUUGGGUUUUUACUUGCUUGAACAGUAACAAAGGUUACUGGCCGUAGCUUGAUAUUUUUCUGUCAUUUUUACACAUCUCCUGUAUUUUAUUGUUGUGUCUUUUGUUUUAUUUGUGUGGAUGGUAAUGUAAAAACAUGCAAGUUUAUAAUGUUUUUUUAUGUCUAAGUACAGGUAUAUUUUUAUGAUUAUAAUGUGUAACUUUUUUUUCAUAAUAUUUUGCUUUAUUUAUUUUUAGCAUUUAUUAUGAGAAUUCUAGUCGUCACCUGCAAUGGACAUACAAGCACUGGUCACUUUAUAUGAUUUCUUAUGUUAUUCUUCACAUGGGAGGUAACUCCUGCAUUCAUGGCACAAUUUGUAAUAAGAUCACUUUGUUUAAAUGCUUACAACAAUGAAAAAAUUUUAUAACAUUUUUGAAUUAAUAAAAAUGUAAAUUAACCUUCAAAGGACAAACAAUGUAUUUUGUGAUAAUUUAUCAAAAUAUUUGACAUCAUUUUAUCAAAA